AUUGAACGCUGGCGGCAGGCCUAACACAUGCAAGUCGAGCGGCAGCGGGAAAGUAGCUUGCUACUUUUGCCGGCGAGCGGCGGACGGGUGAGUAAUGCCUGGGAAAUUGCCCAGUCGAGGGGGAUAACAGUUGGAAACGACUGCUAAUACCGCAUACGCCCUACGGGGGAAAGCAGGGGACCUUCGGGCCUUGCGCGAUUGGAUAUGCCCAGGUGGGAUUAGCUAGUUGGUAAGGUAAUGGCUCACCAAGGCGACGAUCCCUAGCUGGUCUGAGAGGAUGAUCAGACACACGAGAACUGAGACACGGUCCAGACUCCUACGGGAGGCAGCAGUGGGGAAUAUUGCACAAUGGGGGAAACCCUGAUGCAGCCAUGCCGCGUGUGUGAAGAAGGCCUUCGGGUUGUAAAGCACUUUCAGCGAGGAGGAAAGGUUGUUGGCUAAUAUCCAACAGCUGUGACGUUACUCGCAGAAGAAGCACCGGCUAACUCCGUGCCAGCCGCCGCAGUAACAC
rnacentral:rRNA from 1 species